rnacentral:rRNA from 1 species
GAAUAUAAACUUUAUGUGUGUGCUCUCCUAUCGCCCGGUUAGCCGGGCGUUGGAGUGGUGCCAUGUCUUAACAAUAAACGACUCUCGGCAACGGAUAUCUCGGCUCUCGCAUCGAUGAAGAACGUAGCGAAAUGCGAUACUUGGUGUGAAUUGCAGAAUCCCGUGAACCAUCGAGUUUUUGAACGCAAGUUGCGCCCGAAGCUUCCGGCUGAGGGCACGUCUGCCUGGGCGUCACGCAUCGCGUCUCCCCCACAUUCCACCUUGGUGGAGGGGAAGGAGGAUGGUUUCCCGCGACUCACCGGUCGCGGCUGGCCUAAAAUUGGAGCCCUCGGCAUCGGGAUGCCGCGGCGAUAGGUGGUGAACAAGGCCUCGGCCAAGCAAGCAACCCGUCGCGCAUGCCGUGCCAAUGCGGGCUCGAAGGACCCUUUGUCGUUGUCUUUAAGGCAACCAAACCGUUGCG